CAUCAAGCAACAUAUUUUACCAAAAAGCUGUGGCAAUAUUAAGUGAAGGGACCGGAAGCUUGAAGGCAAGAAGGUGAGUUUUAAAGUGUAUCUUAGGGAAGGAGAGUGAGCUUGGAGCGGAGAAGUUGAGCGAGGGAAUUCCGGGAGCUUGGGGCCCAGGCUCCUGAAGGCUCAGCCGCCAAUGUAGAACAAUCAUAACGGGAAGUGCCGAAGAGAGCAGAACUGGAGGAGCACAGGUAUCUUGAAGGUCCAUGAAGCUGCAGGAGAUUCCAGAGGAAUGGAAGGGAAAUUGAACAUAAAAGUGAUGGCGUUACGGGAUAUGGACCACAUGCAGGAAGGAUAUAAACACGUUGGAGAAAGUUUACCACCUGGUGUGAGUGGAUUAUCUCAUGAGGACGGGUUGGACAGACUGGGCUGUUGGCACUGGAAUUUAGAAGUCUAAAGGGCAUCUCAAUGGACGUAUGCCAAGAUCCUGAAAGGCAUUGACAAGGUGAACGUGGAAAGAAUGUUUCCUUUUGCGGAGUGAGCCCAGGACUAAGGAAAAUACCUUUUUAAGCUGGAAGUUUCCUGGCUGCUAUGAUGAAGAGAAUCUCUUGAGAGUAGAUCUUGAGAAUCAACGUCAGAGCCUCAUGGUGGAACGAGUGUUCAGAAAUAACGUAUGUGAGGAGGGGUUACAGUUGCAGUCUCUACAAGAAGAAGGAAUGUAGACAACAAAGAGGCAAAACUAUGGAUAAUGGAAGAGCUGCUGGAAGAAGAGAACGAAUAGAGAAGACUGAGAUAACACUGUGUAGAGCUGGAUGAACACAGCAGGCCAAGCAGCAUCAGAGGGGCAGGAAAGCUGACGUUUCAGGUCGAGACCCUUCUUCAGAACAGAGGAGGCUUCCAGGUUUCAUCAGAUAGCACUGCCCUGAAGAUAAACCUAUAUCAGCAUGGCUCCUAAUCCUCAUCUUUCUAACCCUCUACCCAUUGCAGUGUUCUGUGAGCCAAAACCCUUAAAUAGAGACACCAGCAAAACUAUUAACCUUUGUAUAAUGCCUCAUAGUGCACUUUGGUGACAGGCACAUCACCAAACAUAUCUGUUCUCAUUCCUUUUUGUAAUGUGUGCCUGGGGAAUCUUCUGUGUCCCUGUGGAAACAUGACAACUUUACCCUUUUCCCUCCUGGACCUAGUGCGCCAGUGCUGUAUUACAGAAUCUGGGAGCAACCUCUUUGAUGUGUUCCCUAUUGGUAGCCUAAUUCCUUUACUGAAAGUGUUUUGUAACUAACUUAUGUUCCCUGAAGCUCUGGCUCACCACUUCCCUCUGCUGCUCCCACUCGCUUUUUCUUCUGACACCCAAACCUGUGCUCUCAGUGGAUGUUCAGGAGAAGGGUGACAGGCGGGAGAGAGUGGGUGAGAGAGCGAGAGGAGAACAAAUAGGAGUGAGGGAGGAACAAGAGUGUUGACAAGGACCCAAGACAGUAUGCAGGAAGGUCAGGGAGGAAGGUGCCAAGCAUGAGGAGUGGAAGGGAAGUGGCCAGCAAAUGGCUCAAUAAACAGGAAGAUUUGAGCAGGAAAGGUUGUGGGUGUGGGGGGAGGUGUAGCUGCAGUUUGCUUUUAAAGACUUGGGAACUGUGCUAAAAUGAUGAUAUGGCCCUAAUUUACUAAAGA